UGUGUGUCGAUCGAACAGAAGGAGGGCGACCAGGGGAUUAUUCCAAACCCUAGAAUUUUCAUAAAAUUCACAAAUUGAAGCUGCAAAUCUGCUCCAAAUCAAGUUCUAAACACAAAUUAAUGAUCACCUCGUUGUAGGGAUCAAAAAGGUAAGGAAUCCGGGUCGUCAAGUGGACAAGCCGGGGGUGAUACACGCUUAAAGGGUGUGCUUUGAAGUUUCUAGGUGAUCCAAGUAUGGGGGAUGAUGAUCAAGCAAAAGCAUUCGAACCGAACACACAAACAAUCGCUUCCGCACUUGAUUUGUUUUGUUUUAAGAAUAUGUAAACACUUUUAAAUUGUGUCAUGAAUGUUGUUUAGUAGGAUAUUAUCGUGAAUGUUAUGCAUAGGUAUGGUCUUUAA